rnacentral:tRNA from 1 species
GCCUCCUUAGCUCAGUUGGUAGAGCGACGCUCUUGUAAAGCGUAGGUCGUCGGUUCGAGUCCGACAGGGGGCU